CCAUCAGUGUCGCUUACAGUCUUCAUUAAAACGUGCUGAAGAAGAAGCCAAACAGAAGGCAGAGAUGGAGAAAAAAGCUGCAGAGAAGAAAACCACAAAAGGUCCAUCAAGCUCAAAGAAGCCUGCUCAAGCGAUCAAGAAGUCCACUCAAGCUGAGAGCAAAAAGAUUCAGGCCGAGAAAGAGAAAAAGUCUCAGAACUCCGGGUCCAGGAGCAAGCCUGUGGACACCUCAUCCCCAGAGAAAGAGCCAACAUCUAGGCACAGGAGCAGGGGUAAUUCUGAAGAAGAUGGCCCUACCACCAGGCGUGGGGGAUCUUCUGGGUCCUUCCCCUCCCGGAGGAGCAGGCGGAAUUCCAGCCCUCCAUCAAAGCGCUCAAGGGGGCAUGAUGUUGAUCGCAGGAGUCAUAGUAAAAACUCACAGCCUUCAAGGGGUCACUCAAAAAUAAGGACAGCUGAAAAGGAAAAAGAGGAGGAACCGUUUCCAUUUAACAUUGAUGAGUUUGUGACCGUUGAUGAAGUUGGGGAUGAUGCAGAGGACACUGCGGUCUCAAAUACUGAGUCUUCAGCCAAGGACGAGAAGAUCCAGGAUAAACCCGAUUCCCACUCCAUAGUCUCUCCUAUUGCAGAGUCUGGUCCAGCUGAUAAACCAAACCAAAUAACUGACACGAUAAUUGCUUCUGAGAUAGGAAAACCAGAAGUUAUUGAAUGUGCGGAUAAAAUGGAAGCCAAGACUGAAGAAACCACACCAGCUGCAGAAGUUGUUGCAUCUCCAAAACCAGAAGAGCAAGAGCUUCAGGAAGAGAGUGCUGAUAAACCGCUGGGAACUGAAAGGAUGGAAGCUGCCGUUGUUAAGAACGAGACAACAGAGCCUUGUACUGUAGCAGAAACCGCUUCAGCAGAGAUGGACAACAAUGCUGAGACCCUUUUAACCAUGAAAGAACAUCAUGACAUUGGGGCCUUGGAUGAAUUUGAACCAAGUCAGUCAGUUUCUUCCUCUCCUUCACAGAAGGAAGGCUAUCCACCAACUUCUGCAGAAACUUUAGAGAAAUCAGAAGAUGUCCAUCCUGAGGAGCCUGAAACCUCUGCCCCAGUGAUGGACAAUAAAGAUGAGGCAACUGUAAUCUCUGAAAUUCCAUCAUCCCAUGAUGCAAUGGUCACUCUUGAUGAGGUCAGUGAGGGUGAGGAAGAUUUUCUUGAUGAAACAAAUGAGGAACAGCGUUCGAAGGCUGAUGAAGUGCCUGAGACACUUGUAACGGUUGAUGAGGUUGGAGAUGAUGUAACGGGGGGUGAAGAAUACCAGUUGGGCAAAGAACUUCAAGGUCUAGUCACAUUGGAUGAGAUUGUUGAUGAAGAGGAGGAGUUUGAUUCAUUCAAUCCUGAGGUCGGCUACCCCCAAAAUUGUGUUCAAA
rnacentral:lncRNA from 1 species